AACAAAUAUAUCCCUUAAGGCAUUUCUUCGGUUUGGGACGGGACUGAGUGAAGAAAAGUUCGAAAGUAUUUACGAAGAAAUUGCAAAAGAGCCACAAAAAGCCAUUCUUAUUUUUGAUGGUUUAGAUGAAUAUCACGGUGACCCCAUAAGUUGCUUAGACCAAUCUCGCAUCAUUCCAAACGAUCCUAAUACUGGCAUGUCAGCAAUGAAUUUAUUCAUUAAACUAGUUUUGGGCGACUUGUUGAAAGGAGCAACGGUUCUAGUAACGAGCAGACCGACUGCAGAUGAUUUUUACUCCAGACUUGAUUUUGAUCGAAAUGUGGAGAUUCUUGGUUUCACCUCCAACAAAAUUGCAGAAUAUGUCAGUCGAUUUUGUGACAAUAAUAACACGAGUGACCUUAAAACGAAGGUAUGGAACUACAUAAAAUCCUCAUCAGAACUGUUAAACUUAUGUUAC